rnacentral:rRNA from 1 species
UCCUCCCUCUUUCUUCGUGCUUAACACAUGCAAGUCGAACGGAAAGGCCCUGCUUUUGUGGGGUGCUCGAGUGGCGAACGGGUGAGUAACACGUGAGUAACCUGCCCUUGACUUUGGGAUAACUUCAGGAAACUGGGGCUAAUACCGGAUAGGAGCUCCUGCUGCAUGGUGGGGGUUGGAAAGUUUCGGCGGUUGGGGAUGGACUCGCGGCUUAUCAGCUUGUUGGUGGGGUAGUGGCUUACCAAGGCUUUGACGGGUAGCCGGCCUGAGAGGGUGACCGGCCACAUUGGGACUGAGAUACGGCCCAGACUCCUACGGGAGGCAGCAGUGGGGAAUAUUGCACAAUGGGCGGAAGCCUGAUGCAGCAACGCCGCGUGCGGGAUGACGGCCUUCGGGUUGUAAACCGCUUUCGCCUGUGACGAAGCGUGAGUGACAGUAAUGGGUAAAGAAGCACCGGCUAACUACGUG